GAUAAGAAAGUAAUUAAGGGCGCAUGGCGGAUGCCUUGGCUCUCAGAGGCGAUGAAGGACGUGAUAAGCUGCGAUAAGCUUCGGGUAGAUGCAAAUAAUCUAUUAUCCGGAGAUUUCCGAAUGGGGCAACCCAGUACAUUGAAGAUGUAUUACCCUGUUUACAGGGGGCGAACGCGGUGAACUGAAACAUCUUAGUAACCGUAGGAAGAGAAAAUAAUAAUGAUUCCCCAAGUAGUGGCGAGCGAACGGGGAUUAGUCCAAACCAGUUUUGUUAAGGCAAAACCGGGGUUGUAGGACUGCGAUGUGGUAGUAACGAAUAUAGCCGAACACCUCUGGAAAGGGUGACUAUAAAGGGUGAAAGUCCCGUAGGCGAAAUGUUCAAUACACCUAGCAGUAUCCUGAGUAGGGCGGGACCGGUGAAAUCCUGUCUGAAUCCAGCAGCACCAUCUGCUAAGACUAAAUACUCCUGAGAGACCGAUAGUGAACAAGUACCGUGAGGGAAAGGUGAAAAGUACCCCGAACAGGGGAGUGAAAUAGUACCUGAAACCGUGCGCCUACAAGCGGUCGGAGCAACCUUGUGUUGUGACGGCGUGCCUUUUGCAUAAUGAGCCUACGAGUUACUCCUCUCUAGCAAGAUUAAUCACGUAAACGUGAGUAGUCGAAGCGAAAGCAAGUCUGAAUAGGGCGACAGAGUUAGAGGGGGUAGACGCGAAACUCAGUGAUCUACCCAUGACCAGGUUGAAGAAAUGGUAACACAUUUUGGAGGACCGAACCAGUUGACGUUGAAAAGUCUUUGGAUGAGUUGUGGGUAGGGGUGAAAGGCUAAUCAAACUGAGAGAUAGCUCGUACUCCCCGAAAUGUAUUUAGGUACAGCCUCGUGUUAAAGUGUUAUAGAGGUAGAGCUACUGAUUGGGCUAGGGGGCUUCACCGCCUACCAAACCCUGACAAACUCCGAAUGCUAUAACAUGUUUCACGGGAGUGAGGCGUUGGGUGCUAAGGUCCAAUGCCGAGAGGGAAAGAACCCGGACCAUCAGCUAAGGUCCCCAAAUGUGUGUUAAGUUGUACUAACGAGGUCCAAUUGCUUUGACAGCUAGGAUGUUGGCUUGGAAGCAGCCAUUCAUUUAAAGAGUGCGUAACAGCUCACUAGUCGAGCGAUAGGGCAUGGAUGAUAAUCGGGCAUAAACACACUACCGAAGCUAUGGAAUUGAAUUUAUUCAAUUGGUAGGGGAGCAUUCUAGUUGCAUUGAAGCAGUAGCGGCAAGCUAUUGUGGAGCGGCUAGAAAAGCAAAUGUAGGCAUAAGUAACGAUAAUGCGGGCGAGAAACCCGCACACCGAAAGACUAAGGUUUCCUGAUCAACGCUAAUCGGAUCAGGGUUAGUCGGGACCUAAGGCGAACCCGAAAGGGGUAGUCGAUGGACAAUCAGUUAAUAUUCUGAUACCACCUUUAAUUGCGAUGAGAGGACGGAGUAGUGAAAUUCCCGCGUACUGACGGAAUAGUACGUUGAAAACUGUAGGUAUAUGGAGUGUAGGCAAAUCCGCACACCAUGCUGAAGGUUGAUAGUACCACGAGUCUUCGGACAAGUGGAUAGUGGAGCUAAUCAUACUUCCAAGAAAAGUCUCUAAGCUUCAGAUUAUAGGUGCCCGUACCAUAAACCGACACAGGUGGUCGAGGAGAGAAUCCAAAGGUGCUCGAGUGAUUCAUGGCUAAGGAACUAGGCAAAUUAACCCCGUAACUUCGGGAGAAGGGGUCCCUACUUCGGUAGGGCGCAGAGAAAUGGCCCAGGCGACUGUUUAGCAAAAACACAUGGCUUUGCAAAAUCGUAAGAUGACGUAUAAGGCCUGACACCUGCCCGGUGCCGGAAGGUUAAGUGGUGGUGUUAUUCUCUUCGGAGAAGAAGCACUGAAAUGAAGCCCCGGUAAACGGCGGCCGUAACUAUAACGGUCCUAAGGUAGCGAAAUUCCUUGUCGGGUAAGUUCCGACCUGCACGAAUGGUGUAACGAUCUGGGCGCUGUCUCAGCCAUGAGCUCGGUGAAAUUGUAGUAACGGUGAAGAUGCCGUUUACCCGCAAUGGGACGGAAAGACCCCGUGAACCUUCACUACAGCUUAACAUUGACUUUGGAUAAAUCAUGUGUAGGAUAGCCGGGAGACUGUGAAGCUGGGCCGCUAGGUCUGGUGGAGUCAUCCUUGAAAUACCGGCCUUGAUUUAUUUGAAGCCUAACCCGCAUGCGGGGAAAAUGUUUGGUGGGUAGUUUGACUGGGGUGGUCGCCUCCAAAAGAGUAACGGAGGCUUUCAAAGGUACCCUCAGUAUGAUUGGUAACCAUACGUAGAGUGCAAUAGCAAAAGGGUGCUUGACUGUGAGACUUACAAGUCGACCAGGUACGAAAGUAGGAUAUAGUGAUCCGGUGGUUCCGUAUGGAAGGGCCAUCGCUCAAAGGAUAAAAGGUACUCCGGGGAUAACAGGCUGAUCACUCCCAAGAGCUCACAUCGACGGAGUGGUUUGGCACCUCGAUGUCGGCUCGUCAUAUCCUGGGGCUGGAGAAGGUCCCAAGGGUUGGGCUGUUCGCCCAUUAAAAUGGCACGCGAGCUGGGUUCAGAACGUCGCGAGACAGUUCGGUCCCUAUCUAUUGUGGGCGUUAGAAGUUUGAGAGGACCUGACUCUAGUACGAGAGGACCGUGUUGGACAAACCUCUGGUUUACCUGUUGUGGCGCCAGCCGCACCGCAGGGUAGCUACGUUUGGUUGAGAUAAGUGCUGAAAGCAUCUAAGCACGAAACUCGCCUCAAGAUGAGACUUCUUUUAAGGGUCGUUAGAGACUAUGACGUUGAUAGGCUGCAAGUGUAAAGGUGGUAACAUCAAAGCUGAGCAGUACUAAUUACCCGUAGCUUUUAAUCUAUUAA
rnacentral:rRNA from 1 species